rnacentral:rRNA from 1 species
AAAUUGAAGAGUUUGAUCAUGGCUCAGAUUGAACGCUGGCGGCAGGCCUAACACAUGCAAGUCGAGCGGUAGCACAGAGAGCUUGCUCUCGGGUGACGAGCGGCGGACGGGUGAGUAAUGUCUGGGAAACUGCCUGAUGGAGGGGGAUAACUACUGGAAACGGUAGCUAAUACCGCAUAACGUCGCAAGACCAAAGUGGGGGACCUUCGGGCCUCAUGCCAUCAGAUGUGCCCAGAUGGGAUUAGCUAGUAGGUGGGGUAACGGCUCACCUAGGCGACGAUCCCUAGCUGGUCUGAGAGGAUGACCAGCCACACUGGAACUGAGACACGGUCCAGACUCCUACGGGAGGCAGCAGUGGGGAAUAUUGCACAAUGGGCGCAAGCCUGAUGCAGCCAUGCCGCGUGUGUGAAGAAGGCCUUCGGGUUGUAAAGCACUUUCAGCGGGGAGGAAGGCGGUGAGGUUAAUAACCUCAUCGAUUGACGUUACCCGCAGAAGAAGCACCGGCUAACUCCGUGCCAGCAGCCGCGGUAAUACGGAGGGUGCAAGCGUUAAUCGGAAUUACUGGGCGUAAAGCGCACGCAGGCGGUCUGUCAAGUCGGAUGUGAAAUCCCCGGGCUCAACCUGGGAACUGCAUUCGAAACUGGCAGGCUAGAGUCUUGUAGAGGGGGGUAGAAUUCCAGGUGUAGCGGUGAAAUGCGUAGAGAUCUGGAGGAAUACCGGUGGCGAAGGCGGCCCCCUGGACAAAGACUGACGCUCAGGUGCGAAAGCGUGGGGAGCAAACAGGAUUAGAUACCCUGGUAGUCCACGCCGUAAACGAUGUCGAUUUGGAGGUUGUGCCCUUGAGGCGUGGCUUCCGGAGCUAACGCGUUAAAUCGACCGCCUGGGGAGUACGGCCGCAAGGUUAAAACUCAAAUGAAUUGACGGGGGCCCGCACAAGCGGUGGAGCAUGUGGUUUAAUUCGAUGCAACGCGAAGAACCUUACCUGGUCUUGACAUCCACAGAACUUAGCAGAGAUGCUUUGGUGCCUUCGGGAACUGUGAGACAGGUGCUGCAUGGCUGUCGUCAGCUCGUGUUGUGAAAUGUUGGGUUAAGUCCCGCAACGAGCGCAACCCUUAUCCUUUGUUGCCAGCGGUUCGGCCGGGAACUCAAAGGAGACUGCCAGUGAUAAACUGGAGGAAGGUGGGGAUGACGUCAAGUCAUCAUGGCCCUUACGACCAGGGCUACACACGUGCUACAAUGGCAUAUACAAAGAGAAGCGACCUCGCGAGAGCAAGCGGACCUCAUAAAGUAUGUCGUAGUCCGGAUUGGAGUCUGCAACUCGACUCCAUGAAGUCGGAAUCGCUAGUAAUCGUAGAUCAGAAUGCUACGGUGAAUACGUUCCCGGGCCUUGUACACACCGCCCGUCACACCAUGGGAGUGGGUUGCAAAAGAAGUAGGUAGCUUAACCUUCGGGAGGGCGCUUACCACUUUGUGAUUCAUGACUGGGGUGAAGUCGUAACAAGGUAACCGUAGGGGAACCUGCGGUUGGAUCACCUCCUUACCUUAAAGAAG